GACGAACGCUGGCGGCGUGCUUAACACAUGCAAGUCGAACGGUAAGGCCCUUCGGGGUACACGAGUGGCGAACGGGUGAGUAACACGUGUGUGAUCUGCCCUGCACUUCGGGAUAAGCCUGGGAAACUGGGUCUAAUACCGGAUAGGACCACUGCCUGCAUGGGUGGUGGUGGAAAGCUUUUGCGGUGUAGGAUGGGCCCGCGGCCUAUCAGCUUGGUGGUGGGGUGAUGGCCUACCAAGGCGACGACGGGUAGCCGGCCUGGGAGGGUGACCGGCCACACUGGGACUGAGAUACGGCCCAGACUCCUACGGGAGGCAGCAGUGGGGAAUAUUGCACAAUGGGCGCAAGCCUGAUGCAGCGACGCCGCGUGAGGGAUGACGGCCUUCGGGUUGUAAACCUCUUUCAGCACCGACGAAGCGCAAGUGACGGUAGGUGCAGAAGAAGGACCGGCCAACUACGUGCCAGCCGCCGCCGUAA
rnacentral:rRNA from 1 species